rnacentral:lncRNA from 1 species
CCCCUGUGGUCCAGCGGGGGAGGCACCUUGUGUUUCUCUUGUCUCUUGGCCAGCUUGACUCUGUCUCUGAGUGUCUGUCUCCAAAUCUCAUAUAUGUAUCUGUCUUCUGUGAACUCUCCCUGUGCAACCCACCUAUCCUGCGUCUCUCUCCGAACUUAGUUCUCCUGUUUCUGCACUUCUCACCUCUCUCUCUGAAGUUCUCUGUCCUAUUUUCCGUCCUUUCACUCUGAUCCCUCACUUCUUUCACCUUCCUAGGAAGCCAUUUUCCUCUCUUAUCCUCCUUGGGGGUCCCCCAGAUCUCCGGUUUUCUAUCUCCAGCAGGGCGGACAAGGAGGUCUAGUAUUUGCUGCUUCUGCUUGCGCUCCUCCAGCGACUUUGGCUCGCAGGCGCCCCCGUGUGGCCAACAUGGAGUACUGGAUGGCGGCGAGGGUGAGCGCCCAAGCAAGACAUGCUGGGGUGUAGCACGAGACAUUCAGAGGUGGUGCGACCUACGCCAAAUGUGAGGGCACGCCUCAGAGGUGGUGUGGAACGCCAGGAGAUGACGUGUGACUGUGUGACAAG